rnacentral:rRNA from 1 species
UUGAACGCUGGCGGCAGGCCUAACACAUGCAAGUCGAGCGGUAACAGGAGAAAGCUUGCUUUCUUGCUGACGAGCGGCGGACGGGUGAGUAAUGUAUGGGGAUCUGCCCGAUAGAGGGGGAUAACUACUGGAAACGGUGGCUAAUACCGCAUAAUGUCUACGGACCAAAGCAGGGGCUCUUCGGACCUUGCACUAUCGGAUGAACCCAUAUGGGAUUAGCUAGUAGGUGGGGUAAAGGCUCACCUAGGCGACGAUCUCUAGCUGGUCUGAGAGGAUGAUCAGCCACACUGGGACUGA